CAUAACUUCGGGACAUUACUUCUUACGCUCAGGAUGGACACGUUUGGGCCGUCCUUCAGCCACUAGGACUUCGUAUUUGGAAAGUCACCCGUUGGUGCAUGUUUCAGGACUUUACGUUUCAAGACUUUUUUCCGUUUAUUAUUGGUUGUCUUUGAUGUCGCUUUCGAAAGAGGGGGAGGAGCCUCAUCACUGUGAUCACUAUACCUCCUACUGCAUUUUGAUUGGU